AUUGAACGCUGGCGGCAGGCUUAACACAUGCAAGUCGAACGAGUGGCGGACGGGUGAGUAAUGCUUGGGAAUCUGGCUUAUUGAGGGGGAUAACUACUGGAAACUGUAGCUAAUACCGCGUACCAUAGGAUGAACCCAAGUGGGAUUAGGUAGUUGGUGGGGUAAAGGCUCACCAAGCCGACGAUCUCUAGCUGGUCUGCGAGGAUGACCAGCCACAAUGGGACUGAGACACGGCCCAGACUCCUACGGGAGGCAGCAGUGGGGAAUAUUGCGCAAUGGGGGCAAGCUGACGCAUCCAUGCCGCGUGAAUGAAGAAGGCCUUCGGGUUGUAAAGUUCUUUCGGUAGCGAGGCGUUAACCACAGAAGAAGCACCGGCUAACUCCGUGCCAGCAGCCGCGGUAAUAC
rnacentral:rRNA from 1 species